CGACUGUAGCGAGCGGAAGAGUUUAAAGUACAUCAAGCUCGUGGUUGGAGGAAUCCCUUGUUUUCCCGGGAAGCUGCGCUCGCAGCCUCACGGGGCUGAAGUUUUGGAACAGCUCACGCGUUUCUUCCACGCGACAGCAGACUGUAGGAUGAGGCUGCUGCUGGUGUUCCUCAUUCAGCUGGUGGGCGUGGCCUGCAGGAGGCCCCAUCCACAAGUCAGCUCCGACACACACACAAAGGCUACAGCCAUGGCGACGACCCCUCUCAUCUACCACUGCUGGUCCGCCCCAACAUGGAGUUCUUCACCUGCUGGUGGAGACCGGUGGGAACGUCUCGGCAGACGAGGACGGUCCGCUACACCCUGAGCUACAGCAAGGAG